rnacentral:rRNA from 1 species
UACGUAGGGGGCAAGCGUUGUCCGGAAUCAUUGGGCGUAAAGCGCGUGUAGGCGGCCCGAUAAGUCCGCUGUGAAAGUCCAGGGCUCAACCCUGGGAUGCCGGUGGAUACUGUCGGGCUCGAGUCCGGAAGAGGCGAGUGGAAUUCCGUGGUGUAGCGGUGAAAUGACGCAGAUAUCAGGAGGAACACCAAUGGCGAAGGCAGCUCGCUGGGACGUGACUGACGCUGAGACGCGAAAGCCAGGGGAGCAAACGGG